rnacentral:rRNA from 1 species
AUUGAACGCUGGCGGCAUGCCUUACACAUGCAAGUCGAACGGCAGCAUAGGAGCUUGCUCCUGAUGGCGAGUGGCGAACGGGUGAGUAAUAUAUCGGAACGUGCCCUAGAGUGGGGGAUAACUAGUCGAAAGACUAGCUAAUACCGCAUACGAUCUACGGAUGAAAGUGGGGGAUCGCAAGACCUCAUGCUCCUGGAGCGGCCGAUAUCUGAUUAGCUAGUUGGUGGGGUAAAAGCCUACCAAGGCGACGAUCAGUAGCUGGUCUGAGAGGACGACCAGCCACACUGGGACUGAGACACGGCCCAGACUCCUACGGGAGGCAGCAGUGGGGAAUUUUGGACAAUGGGGGCAACCCUGAUCCAGCAAUGCCGCGUGAGUGAAGAAGGCCUUCGGGUUGUAAAGCCCUUUUGUCAGGGAAGAAACGGUAGUAGCUAAUAUCUAUUACUAAUGACGGUACCUGAAGAAUAAGCACCGGCUAACUACGUGCCAGCAGCCGCGGUAAUACGUAGGGUGCAAGCGUUAAUCGGAAUUACUGGGCGUAAAGCGUGCGCAGGCGGUUGUGUAAGUCAGAUGUGAAAUCCCCGGGCUCAACCUGGGAAUUGCAUUUGAGACUGCACGGCUAGAGUGUGUCAGAGGGGGGUAGAAUUCCACGUGUAGCAGUGAAAUGCGUAGAUGUGUGGAGGAAUACCGAUGGCGAAGGCAGCCCCCUGGGAUAACACUGACGCUCAUGCACGAAAGCGUGGGGAGCAAACAGG